rnacentral:miRNA from 1 species
UAAAGUGUUAUGUGAACAGUUGUAGUUCUUUACUAGCUUUAAGUCCUUUUCUUAACACUGGACUUAAAGCUAGUAAAGAACUACAACUGUUCACAUAAC